rnacentral:rRNA from 1 species
CCCUUAGAUGUUCUGGGCCGCACGCGCGCUACACUGACUGGUGCAACAAGUGUCUGACCUUGGCUCGAGAGGCCUGGGCAACCUUUGAACGCCAGUCGUGCUGGGGAUAGAUUCUUGCAAUUAUUAAUCUUCAACGAGGAAUUCCUAGUAAACGCAAGUCAUCAGCUUGCAUUGAUUACGUCCCUGCCCUUUGUACACACCGCCCGUCGCACCUACCGAUUGAAUGGUCCGGUGAAUAAUUCGGACUGCAGCACUGCUUGGUCUCCAGGCUUUGCAGCGGAAAGUUUAGUGAACCUUAUCACUUAGAGGAAGGAGAAGUCGUAACA